GUGCCAACACACUUCCUUUCUACUAGUUUGUGUCCCCAGAAUUUUCCCAUUGUUACCAUUGGUAAUGUUCCCAUUGGUAUCAUUGUUGAUGCGAGGUUGUUUUUUGAACAUGCCAAUGCGGACAUGAUUUCCCCUGAUGAGUUAUGACUUCAGACGCGAUGCGUGUGUGGAGGUGUGGAGUCCGCGUGAUAUGUGCGUAAGAUAGGCUUCUCAUGUGUUUGGAGAUCCGCACUCUGAGACAAGCACAAGCACCCCCUCCCCCCAAGGGAAAAAAAGGGACCCCCCGAAAAUAUCGGCAUAGUUUGAACACUGUGAAUAGGCCAUCGUUAACAUGACCAUUUGAGUAUGAAAAGAUUGUGAAACUAUAGUUUAAAAAAAUCAUAUGCAUCUCAAACUGCUGUUAAAAGAAGCCUAAUCUGUGGCCUCUGUAUUUAUUUCAAGGGAAUCUUGAAAUUACUUAUAAUUGAAUUGUUUAAUUCAGUCAGUAAGCAGGAACUUCAUACUUCUAUAUUCAAAAAUAUCCAAAAUGGUUUAUAUCACAAACAUGCGAGCAUGUAUAACAAUAACCUCGCAUGUGAUUGGACCAGGACCAGGCGGUCAUGGGCGUGGCUCAUACAGUAUAAACAGGUGUACCGUAGCUUACCAGGUAGUUUUCAUGUGCUCCGGAACUUUCUCUUGGUUUCUGGGAUUUUUGCUGCUUGGUGAUCUUCAAUGGCUGGACGGCGCCUCGCGUUCUACUCUCCGUCGACUCCUGUGUCUGGACGCGAUGGAGCUGUGUCGGGAAGUCCGCAGACCGAUGAGAGAAAACUGCUGUCUGCUCUCAGUGGGUUGUCUCAUCAGAUUGCAGAGCUGACUACUGUACGUUCGUAACCGACAGAUUCAACUCUAUGGACGACAGAUUCAACACCGUGGAAGACAGAUUGACUGCUUUGGAGGGACGUAACUUUGGGGAAAACGCAAACUCAAGGAAGAAAAGACGGGUCCCAUGAUUGCGGUAAGAAUUUGUCCGGUGUCUGCUAGCUAAGCUAAAUAGCCUAAAAGUAAGCAUAGCAGCUAGCCCAAGCUAAAAGUAGCCAGUAGCUAGCUAUGAGGGACAAGUGACUUAAAAACGUUGUUUUGUUCUUUUCACAGGAAACAGUACGCCGUCUUCACAACUCUGAGACAAACACUAGGCGAUACGAGUCGGCGCAAGGACUAACUUCGCCUCAUAACGAAGCCGUGACGAGCUGUUUAGUGCGGGCUUUGUCGACAAAUCCAAAUCUUCAUGAUGCUGACAAAGACAACAUUGUGUCUGCCUGCAAGACGUAUUACGAAACCUUACGCAGGAGCUACAGGUACCAGCAGGCUGAUCUUUCGUUGCAGGCGGAAGCAAUGAAGUAGCUGGCUCGUAGUCGCCCCAGAAGAAAGAGGCUGUUUGACGCGAGACGAGGUGUCCUUGCUAUGGACGAGAUGGAUGUAUGGCAGUGUGCUACCGUAGACCUGAUGUCGGAUGAGGAAGAUGGGGUGGUGGAUGGGGUGUCUGGGUGGAUCGUUAAGCCUCCGCUGUCCCGUAACCCGGAGCUCAGUGAACUCUGUGCUACGCUGCAAUCAAGGCUUGAGGCAGAUCCAAAGUACAGGGCAACCCACCACAGACGACUGCAUGUCGGUCCGAUGCCGCCUGCUCCCCACAGCUCAGAGACCGCAAGCAUGCACUUCACGGAGCUGUAGGACUAAAAUACGGUGCUUAUUUGCUUUUGUUUAGUUUUGUAUCCUGCACAUCUCUCUUGCAUUAGAGAAUGUAUAGGCAACUACUGUUUGUCUAUGACUGAAUGCUGCCAUUUUGUUUAUUUUUUAACGUCUUGUACUUACUCUGAUUUUGAAAAUAAAGCUCUGGUUUGAUACAACGUUCCUUGCAAAUUUUCCUUCCUCAAUAAAUGUGUCAUUGAUAGGAUGACAAUGACAUGAAUAUACAGCAUCAUAGCUAAUCAUAACCACAACAUAUAUAUAAUAGGUUGUGGUUAUGAUGACCCAGGGUAACCAAUAGCCUAGGCCUAGUGUCAUCUGCCAACCAAUCACGAGUGAUUUCUUUGGUUUAAAAGUAGUGUUUUCAUCCAAUACUGAGUGAGGCAAGUUCGAGGCAAGCCAGGCAAUUCUCGGACCACGCGCGGUUUCACUGCUAUUCAUAUGCAAAUAGGCUACCCAUUGAUGCAGCGGUUUCGCUGCUAUUCAUAUGCAAAAAGGCUACCCCGCGAGCACUGGCGGCUCGUUAAUAGGGGCGAUUUGGGCGACGCAUUCCCAAACAGGGAGGGAGAUUUUUUUUUUUUUUUUUUUUAUCUACUCCUACUACCACAGCAACAGUAAUGUCAUUGUCCAAUCAGGCUAAGGUCGCGCCUGGUGUAGCCACGCCCUUUUGGGGCGAUUUCUGUCAGGUUCAGAUUUGCCCCCAAAUCUCCCAUUGACACUAAUGGUACGUACAUUUUUUUCGAAAAUCCUGCUCCCAAUGCAUUUUCUAUUAGGUUUUACGUGUGUGCACAAGCAGCGUGCUUACAUCAUACGCCUGUUGCGCCGCGCAAGUGUUGCCAGAUUGUGCAUUUUGGCGGGUUUUGAACUAUUUUGGGCUGGAAAACGCAACUUGCGCGGGAAAUGUGUGAACAUUCUAUGAAGAAGAUGGCGAGUGUUGAGUGCAGAUAGCGUCUCUGAAAGAAGUUCCCUUUAGUCGUCGUACCAAUGAGGAGAAAACGGCAAUCAAACAGCUAGGACCUCCUAGACCGAAUUUAAACAUCAAGCAAGUGUCUACGAAGGGGAGAAGACCUACUCAAGAGGUUUUAACAAGAACUGGUACCACCGGAAAACUUGGCUAGCUGGCUGUGAUGUAGUCAAUGCUCUUUUUUGCUACCCUUGCGUUCUCUUCCACCCUGGAAGUAGCACAGCAGACGGUACAGUGAUAUUUGAUAUUUGAAUUUACUAGGCAAAAGUUGUUUGUGUGUGUGUGUGUGUGUGUGUGUGUUACCAAUGGCAGUUUAACAUUGCCAUGUUUUUGUUUGACCAAUGGCAGUUUAACAUUGCCAUGCUUGGAAUAUUUCAGUAGCCUCAAGUUCUCUCUGACUUGGUGUAAAUUAAGCAUAUUUUCAGUUUUUAUAUAUUGUACAGUAUGUGUGUUCAUUGGAGCCAGCAGCACCUUACCUUUUUUCCAACUUAAGCCAAGUUGCACUGACUACGUAACCUUGUGUGUAUAUAGCUAAAUAACUAAAGCCUUUUGUGUUCAUUGACAUGCUUGUAAUACUUUAAAUUUCCUUUUAAGGCAUGGCUUUAUGGAGGAAUUCUUGGGAAAAAAACUGCAGAAUUUAUUUGGAAUUAUUAUUUGUUAAAAUGGUGCAAUUCCAUAUUAAAAAAAACCCACAUAAUU